rnacentral:tRNA from 1 species
GAGGGUAUAGCUCAGUGGCAGAGCACAUGCCUAGCAUGCAUGAGGUCCUGGGUUCCGUCCCCAGCACCUCCA